rnacentral:rRNA from 1 species
UACGUAGGCAGCGAGCGUUGUUCGGAAUUACUGGGCGUAAAGAGUGUGUAGGCGGUGCUCUAAGUUUGGUGUGAAAUCUCCCGGCUUAACUGGGAGGGUGCGCCGAAGACUGGAGUGCUCGAGCGUGGGAGAGGAAAGCGGAAUUCCUGGUGUAGCGGUGAAAUGCGUAGAUAUCAGGAGGAACACCUGUGGUGUAGACGGCUUUCUGGACCAUUGCUGACGCUGAGACACGAAAGCGUGGGUAGCAAACAG